rnacentral:rRNA from 1 species
GUGAGGAAUAUUGGUCAAUGGGCGCAAGUCUGAACCAGCCAUGCCGCGUGCAGGAAGACGGUCCUAUGGAUUGUAAACUGCUUUUAUUUGGGAAUAAACUCCGGUACGUGUACCGGCCUGAAGGUACCAAAUGAAUAAGCACCGGCUAACUCCGUGCCAGCAGCCGCGGUAAUACGGAGGGUGCAAGCGUUAUCCGGAAUCAUUGGGUUUAAAGGGUCCGCAGGCGGUCUUAUAAGUCAGUGGUGAAAGCCUACAGCUCAACUGUAGAACUGCCAUUGAUACUGUAGGACUUGAAUUCGAUCGAAGUGGGCGGAAUGUGACAUGUAGCGGUGAAAUGCUUAGAUAUGUCACAGAACACCGAUAGCGAAGGCAGCUCACUAGGUCUGGAUUGACGCUCAGGGACGAAAGCGUGGGGAGCAAACAGGAUUAGAUACCCCUGUAGUCC